rnacentral:piRNA from 1 species
AACUCAGAUGAAGAUGAGCCUCAAGU